rnacentral:rRNA from 1 species
GAUGAACGCUGGCGGCGUGCCUAAUACAUGCAAGUCGAGCGAACAGAUAAGGAGCUUGCUCCUUUGACGUUAGCGGCGGACGGGUGAGUAACACGUGGGUAACCUACCUAUAAGACUGGGAUAACUUCGGGAAACCGGAGCUAAUACCGGAUAAUAUUUCGAACCGCAUGGUUCGAUAGUGAAAGAUGGUUUUGCUAUCACUUAUAGAUGGACCCGCGCCGUAUUAGCUAGUUGGUAAGGUAACGGCUUACCAAGGCGACGAUACGUAGCCGACCUGAGAGGGUGAUCGGCCACACUGGAACUGAGACACGGUCCAGACUCCUACGGGAGGCAGCAGUAGGGAAUCUUCCGCAAUGGGCGAAAGCCUGACGGCGCAACGCCGCGUGAGUGAUGAAGGUCUUCGGAUCGUAAAACUCUGUUAUUAGGGAAGAACAUACGUGUAAGUAACUGUGCACGUCUUGACGGUACAUAAUCAGAAAGCCACGGCUAACUACG